rnacentral:rRNA from 1 species
GUGGUGAUAGCGGAGGGGAAACACCCGUUCCCAUCCCGAACACGGAAGUUAAGCCCUCCAGCGCCGAUGGUAGUUGGGGCCAGCGCCCCUGCAAGAGUAGGUCGCUGCUAGGCAAAC